rnacentral:siRNA from 1 species
AACCUAUGGACGUGUCUUACGCA